rnacentral:rRNA from 1 species
GAUGAACGCUGGCGGCGUGCCUAAUACAUGCAAGUCGAGCGAACGGACGAGAAGCUUGCUUUUCUGAUGUUAGCGGCGGACGGGUGAGUAACACGUGGAUAACCUACCUAUAAGACUGGGAUAACUUCGGGAAACCGGAGCUAAUACCGGAUAAUAUUUUGAACCGCAUGGUUCAAAAGUGAAAGACGGUCUUGCUGUCACUUAUAGAUGGAUCCGCGCUGCAUUAGCUAGUUGGUAAGGUAACGGCUUACCAAGGCAACGAUGCAUAGCCGACCUGAGAGGGUGAACGGCCCCAUUGGAACUGAGACCCGGUCGCGACUCCUACGGGAGGCAGCAUUAGGGGAGCCUCCGCAAUGGGCGAAAGCCUGAAGGAGCAACGCCCCGUGAGUGAUGAAGGACUUCAGAUCUUAAAACUCUGUUAUUAGGGAAGAACAUAGGUGUAAGUAACUGUGCACAUCUUGACGGUACCUAAUCAGAAAGCCACGGCUAACUACGUG